CAUUUCAUAAUUUGCAAUUUUUGAUAUGGUGAUAUUAGCCCUUUUCAUCAAUGGGCCCGUGAACGCAGACAAGGUUAUAAAACUUCAGAUUUAGCUACACAGUGCACUCAUAGAUACAAGAUUUAUGUUGAAGGGCUUGCAUGGUCAGUGAGUCAAAAGUACAUUCUACCCUGUGAUUUGUAUCUCUGCUCAUAAAUCCCCACUACUAUGAUUUCUUCACAAGGAGUUUGCUGCCAACAAUACAUUACUGGCCAAUAAAUCAGAAUGACAAAUGCAACUCCAUCAAGUUUGCAGUAGACUUGGGCAAUAAAAAUGCAGAAAAAAGGCACAAGAAAUUGGAAAAUCAUGGAGCAAAUUUGUACAUGAGGAGCUACAGAUGAAGUACAUUUCAUAUGAUAAUACAGAAGCAGGAGCAGAACGUACUGUCAAACAAUUUGUUGCAGCAGUAAACAAACUUCAGGAAAAAAACAAUACAGUGGUAGUUCCAAAUGGUAUCCAGCAGCAGUUAGUAGAACCAAUGUCAGUCAGAGGCAACAAUCAUGUUGGACAGAACUGCAUUUCAAUUUCAUGAUCGAACUGAACCUCAUUUUUAUUUUUUAAAAUUUCUAGGUCGCUAAUGAAGAUAAUUUGUUGAUCGAUAUUGCAAACACAUCAGGCAACAUAGGGCGCUAAUGAAGAUAACGAGUUUAUCGAUAUUGCAAACACAUCAGCCAAGUGGUUGUAUGACAGGUCCAAAAUGUCUAUAUUUUGGUCAUUUGAUAUUCUUAUAGUAUUGUUCCAGGUUUGUGUUUGUGUUACACGUUUACUGCCCGAAUCUCAGUAACAUUACUGCGUUUCUUAGCUAUUUGACCACUUAACUGAUUGCAAGAAAGAUUAAUUUCAGACAUAUAAUCAACAAUGCUACUUUCGUAGGAAUUUCAGAUGAAUACAACCUUUGCUGAAACAUCAUACUACUUUUACCAAUGAAUGUCUUUCAGCUGCAACCAUAUAACCAAUUGAUAACUAAGGUUGAUGUGGACUACACUAAAUUAUUUGGUACAUACAGCUUUUAGCUCAAGUUUGUCUAAUAGCACAACAUUUGCAAGGAGUUUGUCGUGCUGAUUGCCCCUCACGUUCGUUGGCACACGCCUUCUACAUGGGAGCGACCACCAAACACUCACUUCCUGUCGAGCCAGAAAAUACUAUCCUUCUAGACAGCGUCUCACCCUACCUAUUCAACCUGGGUCAAAAGAGAGGCCAACUGUUCUUCACUACAAGAAGAGUCUCAAUGAAUAUACUAAUGGGAGCACAAGUGAGUUAACCGUACAGAGGCUUCAGUUGUUGCAGUAUAUUUGAAGUGAAAGUUCAUCAAAUCUUAACUCACAAUUCUAUUGAGUAAUACCACAACAUUUCCACGGAGCUGGUCGUCCUGCUUGACCACCACGUUCGUUGGCACACGUCUUCUACAUGGUAGCGACCACCAAAAACUCAGUUCCUGUCCGCUACAGUUUUACAAGAAGAUUCGAAUGCACUGAUUUCUGGAAAUAGUAUCGACGGAAUGUAUAUAAAGAAGAAAACAGCAUUUGAUCUUUGCAUAUGUAACAGUUAGCGAUAA